UAAAACACCUAAAAACUAGUCAGGCUGAAAUAAAAAUUGCUAUAACUGAGAUGCAAAACAGACUGGAUGUGAUGACCGUAAGGAUGGAAGAAGUAGAAGAAUGAAUAAGUAAUAA